GGAGGCAGCAGUGGGGAAUAUUGGACAAUGGGCGAAAGCCUGAUCCAGCCAUGCCGCGUGUGUGAAGAAGGUCUUCGGAUUGUAAAGCACUUUAAGUUGGGAGGAAGGGCAGUAAGUUAAUACCUUGCUGUUUUGACGUUACCAACAGAAUAAGCACCGGCUAACUUCGUGCCAGCAGCCGCGGUAAUA
rnacentral:rRNA from 1 species